UACAAAGAAUAAAUAAGACCUAUACUAGAUGAGGGAUGUAAAGUAUUACAUCACGAGAACUCUCCACCUCGUAAUUUCUCGUUUAGUUGACCCGGACCGGAAGUACCGAAGCAGGGGAUGAAAGAUGACUAGGUACGGUUGACGUAUCAAUAAAUGAAACCUUUCCGGCUCUAUAUAAAGUGUAAAUUGUCUUUUCAAGUGUGACGUUAACAGAGAUGUUUCAAUACAAAACAAAAGUAAUAAACAAAUACAUUGAGUCAAAACCUGAACCAUGAGUAGAACUGUUAUCACAAAAAUCUACCACGACCGCUUAUCUAAGUCAACUCACCACCUCAAUCGUGAACGAGUACCAGUACCUACUGAGAAGGAGUAGUUACCUAAACACAUAAUUGGGGAGUUCCUUCUACUCCUCCCCCUCUACCUUCAACAUCCGCGCACGGGGGCCCGCUGGUAGUAAUCUGGUCGUACUCGAUCGCCGCCACCAGCAGCUCCUGACAUUCGUAGGCGCCUAACAGCACCCGCAUCACCACGGUGGCUCCCGUGGUUGUAGUCGUCAUCUACGUUGUUGCCGCCGUCGUCAUUCUCUGUGUCCGGUUCCUAUCCCUAUCUCGUUGAGUCGGUGUUAUUAAAAAAUGAUUAAUACUCUACAAAGAAUAAAUAAGACCUAUAAUAGAUGAGGGAUGUAAAGUAUUACAUCAAAAGAACUCUCCACCUCGUAAUUUCUCGUUUAGUUGACCCGGUCCGGAAACACCGAAGCAGGGGAUGAAAGAUGACUAGGUACGGUUGACGCAUCAAUAAAUGAAACCUUUCCGGAUCUAUAUAAAGUGUAAAUUGUCUUUUCAAGUGUGACGUUAACAGACAUACUCAAUACAAAACAAGAGUAAUAAACAAAUACAUUGAGUCAAAACCUGAACC
rnacentral:rRNA from 1 species